rnacentral:rRNA from 1 species
AUGGAAGAAGAAUGGAGAGUGUUGCACAGAAAGGCAGUAGGUAUGAUUCAGUUGUACAUCAAACACAAUAUUUCCCACCAUGUUGCAAAUGACACAAAUGCUUAUGAGAUGUGGCAGAAGUUGGAGUCUAUGUAUGAGAGGAAGACAUCAAUGAACAAGGCCUCGGUGAUCAAAAGACUUGCAAUGCUUGAGUACCGAGAUGGCACAAGUGUGAUUGAGCACUUAAAUGUCUUUCAAUGCCAUAUAAAUCAACUUUCAGCCAUGAAGAUCAACUUUGAAGAUGAGGUGCAAGCAUUGUUGCUGCUGAGUUCCAUGCCUGAUAGUUGGAACACGCUUGUUGUGUCACUUAGCAAUUCAGCUCCGGAUGGGAAGCUGACUUUGGAGAUGGUGAAGAACAGUAUGCUGAAUGAAGAAGCUAGAAAGAAGGAAAAGGGUGAUGCCUCUUCUUCUGAUGCAUAUGUGGCUGAAACCCAUGAGAAGAGUGAGAAUCAUGGACGCAGCAAUACAAGAUUUCAGCAAGGCAAAAGCAAAUCCAUGGGAGAUCAAAGACAAAACAAAGAAAAUAUAUUACUUGCUUUCAUUGUGGCAAUCCGGGACACAUAA